ensembl:lncRNA
AAUUACCCUCAUCGUCAGAGGUGCUUUCUGCCGCCCUAAUUGGAGCCUGCCUGGUCUUGGCUGGGCGCAGGCGUCCUGGGGACGGGGCACCGCGGGAAGGGGCUGCUGCAGGGACAGCAGGAGCCACUCCAUGUCCUGGCACAACCCUGGGCUGCUCCUGUCCUUCCCCCAAAACUUAAAUCUGGAGAGAGCAGCCAGCCUUGGGCUCAGCCUGCGGCUGCUCUAGAGCGGGACAUCUCCAGCUGGGUAAGGAGCAUGGCCAGGAGCCUUCGGGAAGCCGGUGCCAGAGACACCUCUGCGUGGGGUGGGGUGAAAAAGCCCUUCCCCUUUCCUUCCCAGGGCUCAUUCCCCUCCUCUCUCUCCCCUCAGAUUUGGACAUGGCCAGGGAACCCAAGCCGAGCCGUGCCAGGCUGGGCCAGAAGCGGCAGCACGGCAGCAGCCUGUACCACAGUAACUGCGACCUGGACUACGACCUCUACAGGGACGACUUCCCGUACCGGGUGUACGAGUACCAGAAGAUCCCCCCCCUCAUUAACCGCAUCCCGGUCAAGGCCAGACGAAGUCACGUGGGGGCAGGAAGCAAAAGCAGCCUGAGCCCCCAGCCCGGGGCCAGGAGCAGCAGCAGCUCCGCGGCGGGACGGACGAAGCUGCGAGCCGAAGAGCUGCACUCCAUCAAGGGGGAGCUGAGCCAGAUCAAGGCGCAGGUGGACAGUCUGCUGGAGAGCCUGGACCGCAUGGACCAGCGGAGAGAGCGUCUGGCGGGGCCCAAGGAGAGCGAGAAGAAGAGGGCAGAGACGGGGGCAGAGUCACCGUCCCCAGCAGGAGAGGGGUCACGGGAGGCCCGGGGGAAGGAGGGGACGGGAGCUGAUGGGCACAGCGACCUGCGCGACAUCGACAGCGCCGAGGAGGAGGAAGAGGAGGAGAGCACAGACACAGAGGAGACGGUGAAGACCCACAUGUCGGACCCCGAGGGGAGCCAGUAGACGGAGGGGGGUGCCGGGGCCAGCCCUUUCCCCUCUCGCGUUCGUUAUUUCUUUCCGAGGCUUCCCAGCUGGUGCCACAGGGUGGCUGCGAGGUGCCCGCUCCCCACACGGGCACCCCCCCGCCGCCGGCAGCCCCACGUCCCACCGGCCCUGGCCAGAGAAGUCUUUUGUGUCCCAGUGCGCUUGUUUUCUCUUUUUUUUUUUUUUUUCUUCCUCCCAUUUUCAGCCCUAGGGGGAAAAAAAAAAAAAAAAAAAAAGGAUCAUAUCCCAAAGGAUCGUCCCAAAUCUUGGCUGCUUUAAGAGCUGGCAUCCCCCCCCCACACACACAACCAUAGGGUGCUGUGGGGGGUGGAGAAAGCCCCCCAACCCUGAGGGCACGGGUCGCAUCCCAACCUCCCCUGCCCUCGAGCCCACCCCGCUGCCUCCCCGCUUUAGAAUCCCCCCCCGGGAACGGGAUCAGCAGCCACCGGGUGAAGCCCGGGAAGGCUUUGGGAGCCGCUUGGCAUCCCACCGUGACGCCACAGGAGGGAGGGGACCACCCCGAGACAGCUCCGAGGGGAUUUUGUGGGAUUUGGGGAUGGUGCCGAGCCCAGCUCUGAUGCCAGCAGCAGGGCAGCACAAACCCAGUUGCUCCCAGUCACCCCUCAUGGGUUUUCCUUACUGGUUCUCGGCCGCAGACGGUGUCUGUGGCCAGCAGGACUCUGCCAGGGCUCCUGUACCCGAGGAAGUCGUGGUGUGUGUCCCCCCCUCCAUACUCCCCAUCUCGGGGAGUCGCAUCUCGGUUUGGUGUCCCCCGUUUCUAGGUGGCCCUACUCUCGCUGGUAGGAGCUCGUUCCGUACUUCUGAUUUGCUCUGGCAAAAAGAGUGUUUUGUGUUGGAAAGAAAAAUAAUUUUUAUUUCUUUUCUCUGGUUAUUCCGACCCUGAUGCAGUUUUUUCACCGCGGGAAGCCCACGUGUGAUUUUUGUACCCAAUUUUGUGUGCUGCCUGGCACAAGCCCCA